rfam:Ricinus communis cultivar Hale ctg_1100012292487, whole genome shotgun sequence.
AUAUCCAUGGUGUGGGUAUUGCAAUAAAAGUGACUUGAAGCAAUCUCAUGCUUCAUGAAAGGAUUCAGUAUCUUUUUAAUAAAAGUUGAAAAUUUUAGCCCUUAAUUC